GCUCUAUUGUACCAGCUCCAGUGGCUCAGAAGCCGGCUCCUUUUGAAGGGGCUGCUAUCGGGCCUCUGCACGCGUGCCACCCUAGCCCUGCACCGGCAAGAUAGGCUGGCCACAGCGGUGGAGGGAGAGAUUGGUUUGUGUGUCACCCACAGCAUAUGCUGGAUUCAGCUCCUGAACUUCUGAAAUGAAGGACUGAAAGUGGCCCCGUCUCUGGAAGGCAUGUCUUCGUCUUGUGCUUUAUCUCAUCGUUAGUGACAGGAAGAGUGGAAGGAAGAAGCAAAAUGAGAAAACUUCUUUGUUGGAAUAACAAGGAGAAAAACAUGGAAGACAACACAACUGGUGUGUGCUGAGCCAAGUGGCUGCCGCCCACCAUAUAGGGUGGUGCCCUCAGGGAGCGGAUGUGGAGCCCAGGGACCAGGACAUCCCAGCAGAUGUCUUCUAGGCCCAGGAGCUAGGAGAGCUACAGCAGGGGUUCUGCACUCUGAUGCUAAAAGAGGGUUACAGCUGCUUCAUUAGAUUCUUGGGUUUGACUGGCCUUGCAAGUAGAUUGUUAGGCAUCAUGAAGUUCGUUUUUUCAAAUUGACUAUGAAUAGGAAGUGAUUGCUAAUGGUAUUUAGCUUUUAUCAGGAAAAACUAUGCAAAAACAAAAACAAAAGCAGCACACUCCCCCAGCAGCCCCUUGUCUCUUGGGGGCCCUUUGCCAACUGUACUUCACCUGUCUUUGGUUGGCUCCUCAGCCAUCCCCUUCCAUCACCUUGAAUAAAAUAUUAUGCACAAAA